rnacentral:rRNA from 1 species
UACGUAGGGUGCGAGCGUUAAUCGGAAUUACUGGGCGUAAAGCGUGCGUAGGCGGUUUGCCGUGUCCUGUGUGAAAGCCCCGGGCUCAACCUGGGAAUUGCAUGGGAAACUGGCAGGCUUGAGUGUGGCAGAGGAGGGUGGAAUUCCGCGUGUAGCAGUGAAAUGCGUAGAGAUGCGGAGGAACACCGAUGGCGAAGGCAGCCCUCUGGGCCAACACUGACGCUGAUGCGCGAAAGCCAGGGGAGCGAACGGG